AGAGUUUGAUCAUGGCUCAGGAUGAACGCUGGCGGCGUGCUUAACACAUGCAAGUCGAACGAUGAUCCCAGCUUGCUGGGGGAUUAGUGGCGAACGGGUGAGUAACACGUGAGUAACCUGCCCUUAACUCUGGGAUAAGCCUGGGAAACUGGGUCUAAUACCGGAUAUGACUCCUCAUCGCAUGGUGGGGGGUGGAAAGCUUUAUUGUGGUUUUGGAUGGACUCGCGGCCUAUCAGCUUGUUGGUGAGGUAAUGGCCCACCAAGGCGACGACGGGUAGCCGGCCUGAGAGGGUGACCGGCCACACUGGGACUGAGACACGGCCCAGACUCCUACGGGAGGCAGCAGUGGGGAAUAUUGCACAAUGGGCGAAAGCCUGAUGCAGCGACGCCGCGUGAGGGAUGACGGCCUUCGGGUUGUAAACCUCUUUCAGUAGGGAAGAAGCGAAAGUGACGGUACCNCAGAAGA
rnacentral:rRNA from 1 species